UACGGAGGGUGCAAGCGUUAUCCGGAUUCACUGGGUUUAAAGGGUGCGUAGGUGGGCAGGUAAGUCAGUGGUGAAAUCUCCGGGCUUAACCCGGAAACUGCCGUUGAUACUAUUUGUCUUGAAUAUUGUGGAGGUAAGCGGAAUAUGUCAUGUAGCGGUGAAAUGCUUAGAUAUGACAUAGAACACCAAUUGCGAAGGCAGCUUACUGCGCAAUGAUUGACACUGAGGCACGAAAGCGUGGGGAUCAAACAGG
rnacentral:rRNA from 1 species